rnacentral:tRNA from 1 species
GGGCCCGUGCCCGAGCGGUCAAAGGGGCCGGGUUCAGGUCCCGGUGGCAUAGCGCCGUCGCGGGUUCAAAUCCCGCCGGGCCCA